CUACGGGAGGCAGCAGUCGAGAAUUUUCUCAAUGGGGGAAACCCUGAAGGAGCGACGCCGCGUGGAGGAUGAAGGCUUUCGGGUUGUAAACUCCUGUCAUUUGAGAACAAGUGUCGGCAAGUAACUACUGUCGGCUUGAUAGUAUCAGAAGAGGAAGAGACGGCUAACUCUGUGCCAGCAGCCGCGGUAAUACAGAGGUCUCAAGCGUUGUUCGGAUUCAUUGGGCGUAAAGGGUGCGUAGGUGGCGCGCUAAGUCAGGUGUGAAAUCUCGGGGCUUAACUCCGAAACUGCAUUUGAUACUGGCGUGCUUGAGGACUGGAGAGGAGACUGGAAUUCAUGGUGUAGCAGUGAAAUGCGUAGAGAUCAUGAGGAAGACCAGUGGCGAAGGCGGGUCUCUGGACAGUUCCUGACACUGAGGCACGAAGGCCAGGGGAGCAAACGGGAUUAGAUACCCCGGUAGUCCUGGCAGUAAACGGUGCACGUUUGGUGUGAGGGGAUUCGACCCCUUUCGCGCCGGAGCUAACGCGUUAAACGUGCCGCCUGGGGAGUACGGUCGCAAGAUUAAAACUCAAAGAAAUUGACGGGGGCCCGCACAAGCGGUGGAGUAUGUGGCUUAAUUCGAUGCAACGCGAGGAACCUUACCUGGCCUUGACAUGCAUCUCUAAGCUGGUGAAAGCCAGUGAGUGUCGAAAGACACAAUUUGCACAGGUGCUGCAUGGCUGUCGUCAGCUCGUGUCGUGAGAUGUUGGGUUAAGUCCCGCAACGAGCGCA
rnacentral:rRNA from 1 species